AGACCAAAAAGAUUGAUGUAAUCGAAGGAGAAGUAGAUCAAGUUAAAGAAAUUGUGGUUCAGAUAUUAGACAAGUUGACAGUCCUAGAACAAACAGUUCGGAUGGUUUCGUCCAACAAAGUUUCUGAUACAAUACGAGAAGAUAUCAUCAUAAUUGCAGGGUAUAACAAUGAAUAUAAUGUAAAAACGUCUGUGGAAAGGUUUUCAUGGAAGAACAAUGUUUGGGUAAAGAUUGCAUCCCUAAACAUUGGUCGUAUGUAUGUUACUUCGUUUCUAUUUGGUGAUGAAUUGUAUGUUGUUGGUGGAACCUAUUGCAACACGACAAUGGAAGUCUUAAACUUGACAAAAGAACCUGCCGAAUGGAACGCGUCUACUGUUAAUAUGCCGUAUACCUGUUGUGGCCAUUGCACAUUAGUUUAUAAAAAUCGUGCUAUUUUUAUUGGUGGAUCUGAUGGUGAUAAAGAGUUAGAUCGCAUCUCAGAAGUACUUCUCACUUCACCUCAUAGCAAGCUGUUAGGUCAGAUGCCUGAGCCAAGAAAAUUUUUUGGCGCUGAGUUAUUUGAAGACAGAAUUUUGAUUUUUGGUGGAAGAAUGUGGCAAGAUUACGAUGGUACAGUUGAUAGUGUCUUGGAAUUUGAUUUGAAUACGAAUGAAUGCAGAAAUCUGUCCCGCUUGCCGCAUGCCAUAUCAGGAAUGGCGACAGUUCGUUGGGGAGAUAAGGUUGUCUUAAUUGGAGGUCGAGACAAUAACGGCAAAGCUCUCAAUCAAGUUCUUAUGUAUGAUUCUACAACUGGGAAUAUCGAUGUUUUGCCAUCAAUGCUAGAAGCAAGAGUUUCACCCUGUGCAGUUAUCACUGGAAAUAUGAUUGUUGUGAUGGGUGGGGCAAGUAUGGAACGUAAAGGUCUUGCCUCUGUAGAAGGUUUUGUUCUGGGAGGUUAUUUAUGGGAAUAUCUUCCUAGUCUGAAUGAAGGCAGAAAUGGUGCCACUGCAGCACUUGUACCAGCCAAGUUCAACAAAAGUUGGCCGGGAUGAGUGUCAGGUAACAGUUUGCACAGAACGUUGAAAACCUUUUUCAAACUUAUAACAACAGCUAGAAGCAAGAAGGGCAAACACUUCCUAGCUAUAUAAUAGUCUUAAGGACUUGUUAGAACUUGUUUGUUUGAGGCUAAAACAAAUCAACUUUCUCAUCUAUCGUUAGCAUCUUAAAAUUACUAAAUAAUUAUGUAGAAAUAGAGAAAUAAAUAGGAAAAAAUAGUCAGGUCGCACAAAAUGUGAUGUUAUACGGGAAAAUUUUCAACGAAGAUUCUUAGCGCAACGCGUUACAAAUCCAAAUUUCAUGAGCUAUAAUUUGCAUUACAAAUUGUAGUUGAAGAUCGUUCCGUGUAACAUCACCUUAAUUGUGAAUCACGCGCAAUGGGUGAUGGGAAUGUUCUAUUUUUGCGAGUCUUUGUAUAUAGCGGCAAUAUAUGCCAGCGCCAAUAUAUACCAUUUGAAUAUUCGAAUCACAUGUACUAACAACAGACUUCGUACACAAUUUGAUACAUGGAUUUUUAUAAUAUACAAAGUAGGUUUUGUAAUAGAAUGAUUGUAUACAAUAACAUCCGGAGACCAAAUUAGAACGUGAUAUAUAGUGUAUGUCAGUUUAAAACAAAUUCAGUGUUUCUCACAACUUCGUCUAGUCUACUUGUCAUAUAUACGAUCCUAUAUUAUACAUGCCUCACACACCCGCGUACAUGGCGAAGUGUAAAACCUAAUAAGGGUUAAUUGUGUGUCCGCUAUAUUAUGAGUAUGACACCAUGAUGCAUUUCAUUGUCGAUCUCAGGUCGCUUUUCAACGCGUGCACUUCCCAAGUUUGUUUGCGAACAUGCCAAAUAAAUUCCAAGUUCGGAAAAGUGGGCGUGAAGUUCGCAACGAAGUUCGCAAGUUCAUUUCAAUGUUUGAACUUCUAG
rnacentral:lncRNA from 1 species